CAAGUCGAACGCGAAAGUUCCCUUCGGGGAGCGAGUAGAGUGGCGCACGGGUGAGUAACACGUAGGUAAUCUACCUUUGGAUGGGGAAUAACACCGAGAAAUCGGUGCUAAUACCGCAUAAUGCAGCGGCACCUAAUGGUGACAGUUGUUAAAGCGGGGGAUCGCAAGACCUCGCGUCUAAAGAGGAGCCUGCGGCGGAUUAGCUAGUUGGUAAGGUAAUGGCUUACCAAGGCGAUGAUCCGUAACCGGCCUGAGAGGGCGGUCGGUCACACUGACACUGACAUACGGGUCAGACUCCUACGGGAGGCAGCGGUCGGGAAUUUUGGGCAAUGGGCGAAAGCCUGACCCAGCAACGCCGCGUGAAGGAUGAAAUCCCUCGGGAUGUAAACUUCGCAAGAACAGGAAGAAUAAGUAAGGGUUAAUAUCUCUUACGAUGACGGUACUGUUUGUAAGCUCCGGCUAACUCCGUGCCAGCAGCCGCGGUAAUACGGGGGGAGCAAGCGUUGUUCGGAUUUACUGGGCGUAAAGGGCGGGUAGGCGGCCACCGCAAGUCAGUUGUGAAAUCUCCGGGCUUAACCCGGAAAGGUCAACUGAUACUGCGGGGCUAGAGUGCAGAAGGGGCAACUGGAAUUCUCGGUGUAGCGGUGAAAUGCGUAGAUAUCGAGAGGAACACCUGCGGCGAAGGCGGGUUGCUGGGCUGACACUGACGCUGAACUGCGAAAGCUAGGGGAGCGAACGGGAUUAGAUACCCCGGUAGUCCUAGCCUUAAACGAUGAAUGCUUGGUGUCUGGGGUUUUAUAGUCCCCGGGUGCCGUCGCUAACGCUUUAAGCAUUCCGCCUGGGGAAUACGGUCGCAAGACUGAAACUCAAAGGAAUUGACGGGGACCCGCACAAGCGGUGGA
rnacentral:rRNA from 1 species